CUGGGUUAUGGCCGAAUGGAUGCGGCAGGAGGCCGUUUGUCCCUUUCGAGUGAUGGCAAAAUCACAGCUUCGUUCGGAUUUGAAGAAUGCGGAC
rnacentral:tRNA from 1 species